rnacentral:rRNA from 1 species
GACGAACGCUGGCGGCGUGCUUAACACAUGCAAGUCGAACGGAAAGGCCCUGCUUUUGUGGGGUGCUCGAGUGGCGAACGGGUGAGUAACACGUGAGUAACCUGCCCUUGACUUUGGGAUAACUUCAGGAAACUGGGGCUAAUACCGGAUAGGAGCUCCUGCUGCAUGGUGGGGGUUGGAAAGUUUCGGCGGUUGGGGAUGGACUCGCGGCUUAUCAGCUUGUUGGUGGGGUAGUGGCUUACCAAGGCUUUGACGGGUAGCCGGCCUGAGAGGGUGACCGGCCACAUUGGGACUGAGAUACGGCCCAGACUCCUACGGGAGGCAGCGGUGGGGAAUAUUGCACAAUGGGCGGAAGCCUGAUGCAGCAACGCCGCGUGUGGGAUGACGGCCUUCGGGUUGUAAACCGCUUUCGCCUGUGACGAAGCGUGAGUGACGGUAAUGGGUAAAGAAGCACCGGCUAACUACGUG